GAUGAACGCUGGCGGCGUGCCUAAUACAUGCAAGUCGAGCGAACGGACGAGAAGCUUGCUUCUCUGAUGUUAGCGGCGGAAGGGAGAGUAACACGUGGAUAACCUACCUAUAAGACUGGGAUAACUUCGGGAAACCGGAGCUAAUACCGGAUAAUAUUUUGAACCGCAUGGUUCAAAAGUGAAAGACGGUCUUGCUGUCACUUAUAGAUGGAUCCGCGCUGCAUUAGCUAGUUGGUAAGGUAACGGCUUACCAAGGCAACGAUGGAUAGCCGACCUGAGAGGGUGAUCGGCCACACUGGAACUGAGACACGGUCCAGACUCCGACGGGAGGCAGCAGUAGGGAAUCUUCCGCAAUGGGCGAAAGACUGACGGAGCAGCGCCGCGUGAGUGAUGAAGGUCUUCGGAUCGUAUAACUCUGUUAUUAGGGAAGAACAUAUGUGUAAGUAACUGUGCACAUCUUGACGGUACCUAAUCAGAAAGCCACGGCUAACUACGUG
rnacentral:rRNA from 1 species